CCGAUCUGGGAUUCUUGGACAUGCCCAUUCACUACAGAUUGCACAAAAAAUUCUAUCUCAUCCUUUGACAAUUUUUGUCCAUUUCGCUUCUUUAUAAUCAAUUCUGGGAUUGUGUAUUUGACUUGGUUGUUAUUUGGUUCCGACAUCGUGAAUGAAUGAAAUGGACAACUGUGAGUGACCGACUUUCUACUAUUACUUGUUUACAAUGUUUAGUUA
rnacentral:lncRNA from 1 species